rnacentral:rRNA from 1 species
CCUACGGGAGGCAGCAGUGGGGAAUAUUGCGCAAUGGGGGAAACCCUGACGCAGCAAUGCCGCGUGAGUGAGGAAGGCCUUCGGGUUGUAAAGCUCUGUCAAAUAGGAAGAAUUCCUCUGGGUCCAAUAGGCCUAGAGAUUGACGGUACUAUUAAAGGAAGCACCGGCUAACUUCGUGCCAGCAGCCGCGGUAAU